rnacentral:rRNA from 1 species
ACAGCAGUCGCCGCGGUAAAACGUAGAGCGCAAGCGUUAUCCGGAAUUAUUGGGCGUAAAGAGCUCGUAGGCGGUUUGUCGCGUCUGCCGCGAAAGUCCGGGGCUCAACCCCGGAUCUGCGGUGGGUACGGGCAGACUAGAGUGAUGUAGGGGAGACUGGAAUUCCUGGUGUAGCGGUGAAAUGCGCAGAUAUCAGGAGGAACACCGAUGGCGAAGGCAGGUCUCUGGGCAUUAACUGACGCUGAGGAGCGAAAGCAUGGGGAGCGAACAGGAUUAGAUACCCGCGUAGUCCCUGUCUCUUAUAC